UUAUAUGGUCAAGAAGAGAAGCGCAAACGGUGGAUGCCUUGGCAGUAAGAGGCGAAGAAGGACGUGGAAUCCUGCGAAAAGCUAUGGGGAGCUGGAAACGAGCGAUGAGCCAUAGAUGUCCGAAUGGGGGAACCCGGCUGCAGCGAUGCGGUCAUUUGCAUUUGAAUACAUAGGAUGCAAAGGCGAACUCGGGGAACUGAAACAUCUAAGUACCCGAAGGAAAAGAAAUCAAGAGAGAUUCUCCAAGUAGCGGCGAGCGAACGGGGAGGAGCCUGGCGUGAUUUAUUAUUGAACUGAGUAGAACAAUUUGGGAAAGUUGGCGAUAGAGGGUGAAAGCCCCGUAUACGAAGGUUU
rnacentral:rRNA from 2 species